CCUACGGGUGGCAGCAGUGGGGAAUAUUGGGCAAUGGAGGAAAGUCUGAACCAGCAACGCCGCGUGCAUGAUGAAGGUCUUCGGAUUGUAAAGUUCUUUUUUAAGGGAAGAAGAUAGUGACGGUACACUAUGUAUAAGCCUCGGGUAACUACGGGGCAGCAGCUGCGGGACUACGUAGGAGGCGCGAGUUAUGCGGAUUGAAUGGGCGUAAAGGGUGCGUAGGUGGUGUGGCAAGUUAGUGGCGUAACUCCAGGACUCAAACCUGGGACUGCUACUAAUACUGGUGGACUAGAGUGAAGUAGGGGCAAGCGGAAUUCCAGGUGUAGCGGUGAAAUGCGUAGAUAUUAGGAAGAACACCAGUGGCGAAGGCAGGUUACUAGGCUGUAACUGACGCUGAGGCACGAAAGCGUGGGGAGCAAACAGGAUUAGAUACCCGAGUAGUC
rnacentral:rRNA from 1 species